rnacentral:rRNA from 1 species
UACGAAGGGGGCUAGCGUUGCUCGGAAUCACUGGGCGUAAAGCGCACGUAGGCGGAUCUUUAAGUCAGGGGUGAAAUCCUGGAGCUCAACUCCAGAACUGCCUUUGAUACUGGGGAUCUCGAGUCCGGAAGAGGUGAGUGGAACUCCGAGUGUAGAGGUGAAAUUCGUAGAUAUUCGGAAGAACACCAGUGGCGAAGGCGGCUUACUGGUCCGGUUCUGACGCUGAGGCGCGAAAGCGUGGGGAGCAAACAGG